UACGUAGGCAGCAAGCGUUGUUCGGAGUUACUGGGCGUAAAGGGUGCGUAGGCGGCUCUAUAAGUAUGGUGUGAAAUCUCCCGGCUUAACUGGGAGGGUGCGCCGUAGACUGUGGGGCUAGAGUGUGGGAGAGGAAAGUGGAAUUCCUGGUGUAGCGGUGAAAUGCGUAGAUAUCAGGAGGAACACCGGUGGUGUAAACGGCUUUCUGGACCAUAACUGACACUGAGGCACGAAAGCGUGGGUAGCAAACAGG
rnacentral:rRNA from 1 species